UGGACCCCGAGUAAGCAGUUAGGAGUAGGGCACUUAUAGAAGAUAUUAUUGUUACAAAUUUUAGAUAUUGUGCUUUAAAUUGUAAUCUUUACGACAAUAAUGAGCAAUAGUAUUAGUGUAAGGAAGUAUUGAGAGUUUGAUUUUUACAAUGUCAAUGGAAAGAGCGAAGAGAGUACCGAAACGAUCAAAAAGUCACCGCAACGUGAGGUCUAAGUGCGAUCUGGGAUGGCCAUCUCUUGUAGUUAUCACCAACAUGGAACCGAUGAAGUUAGAUAUCUGUUGGUCAUUGAAAAGGCAAAAAGAU
rnacentral:lncRNA from 1 species